GAUGAACGCUGGCGGCGUGCUUAAUACAUGCAAGUCGAGCGAACAGACCAGGAGCUUGCUCCUCUCACGUUAGCCGCGGACGGGUGAGUAACACGUGGAUAACCCACCUAUAAGACUGGGAUAACUUCGGGAAACCGGAGCUAAUACCGGAUAAUAUAUUGAACCGCAUUGUUCAAUAGUGAAAGACGGUUUUGCUGUCACUUCUAGAUGGAUCCCCGCCGCAUUAGCUAGUUGGUAAGUUAACGGCUUACCAAGGCAACGAUGCGUAUACGACCUGAGAGGUUGAUCGGCCACAUUAGAACUGGGACACCGUCCAGAGGCCUACGAAAGGCAGCAGUCGGGAACGUUCCGCAAUAGGCGAAAGCUUGGCGGAGUAACGCCGCGUGAGUGAUAAAGAUCUUCAGAUCGUAAAACUCUCUUAUUAGGGGAGAACAAAUGUGUAAGUAAAUAUGCACGUCUUGACGGUACCGAAUCAGAAAGCCACGGCUAACUACGUG
rnacentral:rRNA from 1 species